UCGAAUGUGUUGUUACUUAUUACUACUUUUCUCCAAUCAAAGGUCGCGGGUUCGAGUGCCUUAAGUUGUGCUACCUUAAUUACCUGGGCCUUAACUGACACCGGCCUAAUUAACACCAAUGGUCUAGGGUGCCACUCCCACUAAUGGUCAUGGGUUCGAGUGCCAUAACUAACGCUAUGGUAAUUAGGUGCACUUUAAUUAACUUCGCCUUAACACCAAAGUUCGUUAGUUCGACUUCCACAUCAGCUCGAGAGUUCGACUCUCACUGAAAGUCUUGUGUUCGAGUGCCUGAAAGAAUUGUAUUUUAAUUAACUUUGCCCUUUUUUGUAUGAUGAGCGCCAUUGGAGCCAGCUGAGGAAGAGGACGACGACAAACACACGAGCAGUGGCACGAGCGCGUGUGUGCGCGAGGCGAGCUCACAUGACUUUCCGCACCGCAAGCCAUGUUUUCCAAAUUAUCGGGGUAAUGUCCAGCUUUUGAAGUAAUCCAGCUCAAGGACAAGAAAUAUGCAGUCUGUCAGACGCUAUGUUUAAAAUUUCGGAAUGCCUAAAAAUGAUCACCCCAUUUAAGGCGCUGCUUGGCAACCACGAACUUCCAUCAACUCGCUCAAGUUGUCCUACUAUUACAAAUGCCGGAUCUCCGGCUAGCACAUCUGGACACAUACAAGGGCCUUCAGUAAAGGUUCCACAGCGGAACUACAGUAGGACAGCCAUGGUCGCCAAACAGGGCAGCUACGCGUGGAUGUGCCUAUAUUGAUAGACAGACCCGAAUUUCGCACACCUCUCUUGAAAGCGCUUUUAACCGUAGGUAUUAACAGUUUCUGAACAAUUCCUUGCUUAUCGUAGUCUAGAGUCUCUCAAACACAGACAAUAAUGCGUAACUGACAUGUACUUCUGUUGUGAUUGUAACAGAAACUUUAUUUUGAGGGUUGAUAAGCAAUUUUAUUUUUAUUUACAUUACAGAUUCUAGAGCUUCGUCAAGGAAUGUGAACUUCUGCUGGCGUAUCUUACAAAUGUUCGUUUCUAAAUGGCUGAAGAGGGAAGAAUAGCCCUAAGAGCACUGCUAUAUGUGGCCAGUGAAUUGAACCGACACUGUUGUGACUCCAGACGAAAGGGAGCCUCGGAAGUUGUUCCCAACAAUUGACCUGCUGACGAUCUUUUUUUCAAAUUUUCCCUACCAGGAGCGCCUUCUCCGAGCUCCAACAAGAAUGAAACGCUACGCUCCAUAGAGGAUCCAGACUCGAGCAUUGCGGUAUUCUGCAACCAUGAUCACGUGGAUAAGGUGUUCAUAUGCUACAUACCGUGAUUCCUUCCAGCGCGCACAUCGAACGAGCUUUGAGUAUUGCUACGGAUGUCUUCAGAAGAAACAGACGGAUGUCAGCGAUAAAUAUUUCGAUGAACAAAUUGUAAGUGAAGUUAAACAACCUGUGAAGAACUGAAAUGACGCACAGAGAAGCCAGGCCAGCUCGUUUUGUUCAUAUACUGUAUUCGUGGAAUUUGAAUGCAAUUGCUGGAGGGAGAGUAAAGUAAAAUAAAGGGAUAAUUUUUUAAUAAUUGCGCACUUGCUUUUGUGGCGCAGCAAUUGGAAGCUGAAAUAAAUUACA